CCCGCCGCCGCUGCUGGCGCUGGCGCUGGCGCCGCCGCUUCCAAGGGGUGCGAAUCCUGCAGCUACUUACCAGGGUCGGGUAAUUCACUUCUUGCAAGGACUCGGCCAGAAGGGAGGUUGAGACCGCCAACACAGAGCCGACUGCCGCCGCGCCCGGAGCCCAGACAGCCCCUCCUCCCCGAAGGCGCGCGCACAGCGUUCCGGGAGCUUUCAGGGGCGGGACGGGCGGGGGCGGGGUCACGGAGCGGGCGGGGCUCGGGGUCUUCCGGAGCCUCCGGUCGCGGGUCUAAGAGGACUAGGGCGGGAGCGGCGCGGAAGAAAGAGAGGACUGCGUUUUGGGGCGUUCUGUAAGAGGGGAAAGACGUGUGGAUUGGAGUCCGACUGCACUCACGCCUUAUUUCUGCAAGCAGAACUCACUGUCCUUAGAAACGGCCUUCUGAGGCUCUGUUGGGAGGCUCUAACUGUAUUACAGAGGACACAUUUUUGUUUUUAUGUGAAACAUUCAGAAGUUGCUUCCAUCAAGUGCUUCAUAAGUACACUGGUUUUCAAACUUUUUAAGUUGAGGAACUGUUUUGAUUUUUUUUUAAAUAGAACUUUACUUGGAAGCCCAAGAACAUCCAGUGCAAUGUUUAAUGGAAGUGAUAAUGGCAUUCUUGUCCCAUUCCUCACUUUACUGUGAUACUGCUAACAUUUUAUAAUGAUGACAAUGUUUGCUGUGGGUUUUUGGGAGGCAAAGGGAGAUUUGACAAAGAAGAAGGCAAUGGGACUACUGAAACAAAAUGCUAGGCUUCUGGCUUUGAAGAUCAGACUAGGGACCAAAAAUAAAGGAAUGCAAGCAUUUCAUUCAAGCUCUAAAAGCCAGAAGAGGCAAGAAAAACUUUCAGAAGGGAGAGUGACCAUGCUAAUACUUCAGUUUCAGCCCAGUGAAACUGACUUCAGACUUCUGACCUCCUGAACUGCAGGAGAAUAAAUGUAUGCUUUUUAAGCUACCAAGUUUCUGGUAAUUUGUUCUAGCAGCCACAGGAAACUAAUACAGUUUUCAACAAAUAUGUGUUGAAUAAAUAAAUCAAUGAACA